rnacentral:rRNA from 1 species
GACGAACGCUGGCGGCGUGCUUAACACAUGCAAGUCGAACGAAGAGCGAUGGAAGCUUGCUUCUAUCAAUCUUAGUGGCGAACGGGUGAGUAACGCGUAAUCAACCUGCCCUUCAGAGGGGGACAACAGUUGGAAACGACUGCUAAUACCGCAUACGAUCUAAUCUCGGCAUCGAGGAUAGAUGAAAGGUGGCCUCUACAUGUAAGCUAUCACUGAAGGAGGGGAUUGCGUCUGAUUAGCUAGUUGGAGGGGUAACGGCCCACCAAGGCGAUGAUCAGUAGCCGGUCUGAGAGGAUGAACGGCCACAUUGGGACUGAGACACGGCCCAGACUCCUACGGGAGGCAGCAGUGGGGAAUCUUCCGCAAUAGACGAAAGUCUGACGGAGCAACGCCGCGUGAGUGAUGACGGCCUUCGGGUUGUAAAGCUCUGUUAAUCGGGACGAAAGGCCUUCUUGCGAACAGUUAGAAGGAUUGACGGUACCGGAAUAGAAAGCCACGGCUAACUACGUG